UCUAGAUAAAGUAUGUUGUUUUGUGCCUACAAUCAAUUUGUUUAGACAAAUUUUAUGAGGAGCAGCUGGGCUUCAUGGAACCUUUAACGGUAUGCAAGAAAAUUUUCCCAAAGCCUGAAGUACUAAAUGGAAGAGGUUCAGUAUAAAUCCAUCAUUGGAGGUGCUCACUCACAGUCAAUCAGUACAAAAUUGCACCCAGAAGAAACUUCAAAAGUGAUAUGAACUUUAAAAAAAUAAUGUUCUUUGUUAAUACGAGCAUUGUAAAGGAGAAGGUGUAUCCGCUGGAGCCCAUGGUUGAGAAGAAAUGUCUUCACACAAGACCAAAUCCUUGAGGAAGACCCAACUCAGCAGU